GAUGAACGCUGGCGGCGUGCCUAAUACAUGCAAGUCGAGCGAACAGACGAGGAGCUUGCUCCUCUGACGUUAGCGGCGGACGGGUGAGUAACACGUGGAUAACCUACCUAUAAGACUGGGAUAACUUCGGGAAACCGGAGCUAAUACCGGAUAAUAUAUUGAACCGCAUGGUUCAAUAGUGAAAGACGGUUUUGCUGUCACUUAUAGAUGGAUCCGCGCCGCAUUAGCUAGUUGGUAAGGUAACGGCUUACCAAGGCGACGAUGCGUAGCCGACCUGAGAGGGGGAUCGGCCACACUGGAACUGAGACACGGUCCAGACUCCUACGGGAGGCAGCAGUAGGGAAUCUUACGCAAUGGGCGAAAGCCUGACGGAGCAACGCCGCGUGAGUGAUGAAGGUCUUCGGAUCGUAAAACUCUGUUAUUAGGGAAGAACAAAUGUGUAAGUAACUAUGCACGUCUUGACGGUACCUAAUCAGAAAGCCACGGCUAACUACGUG
rnacentral:rRNA from 1 species